UCAUCGAGUCUUUGAACGCAAGUUUGCGCCCGAGGCUUGUCCAAGGGCAUUUCCGCUAGAGCGUCACC
rnacentral:rRNA from 1 species